AUGCGGAUAGUGCCAAUGUGUCAUAAUUAGAUGGCAGAUGCAUCGAAAGAUCCAAAUGAUGCUCGGCCCUCAUACCGUCAAGUGUCAAGAUCUAGAAAGUCUUGAUUUGAAUAAAUACAUCUCAACCAUUGACCAGUCAUAUAUAUAAGGGUUGUCUUCCUCCUUCAUUUGGGUUUGUUUGGGUCUUCUGCUGCAACUCUGAGUGCCCGAGUGAUUCCUAUGGAUACCGAGAGCUUUGUUGGA
rnacentral:lncRNA from 1 species